AAGUGAUGUAGUUCUGAGAAUAUCGUAGACGGCAGCAAUGGUUGUCCCCUCCAACAUGUUUAAAGUUUAUGGCCUGCCCAACUUGGAAACUCUGGUAAUAAAAAAAAUUCUGAGUUUCCCAGUAGUAAAUACGACUUGAGAGGCGCUCACGUCCAAUUUCCAAUUAGGAAACUUAUAUUUACGAUAAUUCCGAUUGCACGUUAAGGCAGCAUAAGUUCCAAAGCUGCUCCAACACACCUGUCUGUAAUUAUCAAGUGCUCCUGAAGAUCUGAAUUAGCUGGUUCAGGUGUGUUGGAUCAGGGUUGGAGCUGAAGGUAGAUCUCUAUGAACAGGUUUGGGCACCCCUGUUCUUUGAUUGGACAAAAAUGGGCAAGAUGAGUCAUCAGUAUAUUUGCUUGGUUUUCUCAAUACAGAAAGUACAUUUUAAAUGUGUAUCUUCUAAAAGUUAAAUGUUUAGGAAGACAAAACUGACUUGACGUGGACAAAUCGUCUCAAAACUGUCAUUUAUAUGUCAUGGGGUCUGUAAUAAUGGAACUCGAGGGACUGGAGAUGUCUUCAACUUUGUGAUUGAUGCGUGUUCCAAUUCUGCAGAAAUCUUGAGUUUUCCGUAAAGGCAGAUUCUGUAUGGGCCUAUGAGACUGAGAGGAUUUAUGAAAGGUCCCUUUUUCCAGACACUCGUCUCUUGUCCCUCUCCACAUAGGUUCUAUCGCACCGGCCUGCACUCCUGUGAUCUGACAGUCUGUCACCUUGCUAUCAACCCAAUCCUCAGCAGGGGCUUGGCACCAGAGAGCCAGAGUCGUGACCUCUGAUCGUGAGCCAUCCCCCACUGUAGCACAGGAGCUUCGCUUUAGAGCCACAUGUUGACUUGAUGUCCAGAUAGUAGGAUAGAUAUAACAUAAAGGGAGAGAGAGAUAUGAACAAGUCAUUCACUGCUGUCAAAACAACAUGAGGUAUCAGCCCUGGGCAAAGCACCCCACCUGCUCGGCCACACCACGUCUGACAGGCAAAGAGAGCCCCUGGAGUUAAAUGGCAUGUUUUAUUGGAAUCCCUCAGUCACUGAGCGAUCAACACCUUCCUGUAAAACAGAAGCAUUUUAACACCACCACAGCCACCGAACAAGGGACCAUCCUGACAGAGCUUAUUUACACCCUUUUCCAUCGAAAUGGUGCUUAUGUUAAAAGGAUGUGUAAAUGUCUUUUACAACUGGCCCACAUUUCCACUGACUCGAGAGCUGAACGAUGAUGAGUAUUUUACUACAUAACCUGUCUAUGAACAAACAGUGCUUCUACGUCUUUUAAGGUGCGGUCACAUUUACCUUUGCAAAAUUUCACAGGCAAAAUUCAGUCGUUUCAGUAGGAAUUUUGCACAUGCAUUUACAGUGUUGAACAACACAAUAGUGCAUGCUUUGAAAGUGACUUCUGUGUGAAGGGUACUUUGUGCAUCACUACACUAUUGACUUCGGACAAUGGAUAUUUUUUGAUGGUGGAUGGUUUUAUCAUG
ensembl:lncRNA